CUCCUACUUCUUCCUCGACCGCUGACCGCCAUUGACGCCGUCCGAAACUUGCUGCCGUCCGUCCGUCCUCUCGCCUCCCUGUUCCGUCCGACCCCGCCACGAACAGCAAGGCGUAUGCUACAGGCCCAGCGGGAACGUCUCCCCCCACUGAAAGCGCAUCGCCGGAAAUACUGAAAUAAAUCCAGGAAUAAUGCGAGCACCGGAAUUUGAACCCUGGUGGGUUGGGGAUACCAGGGUCCACCUAACCAUCUCAACCACAGGUUGGUUCGCUCAAUCGCCCUUCUAUUAUUAGGUAGAGAGGUAGAGAUUUCUCGGGUUAAGAUCGGGAAGGCUUCUUUGGCUGGAGAGAGGAAAAAGGUGAAAGGAGAAACAAAGGCUCAUCGUGUAUUUUUUUAAGGCCGUAUGUUUUUUCUUUUGAUGGUACUCAUUAUUCCAGGAGUUGGGCUGGAUCAUUUUAGAAAGGAGUUGGGCUGGAUGGGCGUGUCCAGCAAGUUCUUCUACAAAAAGAAAAUCUAAAAAAAACAGCUUUUCUUUUUUUUUUGCCCGGAAAAAAUAAACACUACAGUGUGUACUCUAUUUUUUUCUGAUCAAAAAAUGUGCACCGUUUCUAUUAGAAAAGGACCAACACAUAGAAAAUUUAAUAAUCGCUUUCAAAAAAGGAAAUUUAAUAACCCAUAACAUAUAUGAGAAUCACUGAUGGAAUUUUUGGAUAAGGGUAUGAUCAGAUACCUGAUGAUUGUAUAAUUGUAGGUACGAGAAGGUCAUAUUUGGGUGCAGGGUGACAAUAUUUAUAUAUGCAUCUAAUGACUUAUAUCGCAAAAAAAAAAUGCAUCUAAUGACUCGAGGCAGUUUGGACAUGUGCCUUAUGGUCUCGUACAAGGGAAGAUGUCCUAUCGGGUAUGUUGAGUAACUUUUCUGUUCUGCUUCCCCGUUAGCUUAAUGAAAAGCCUGAUGAAGCUUUUGGUGUGGUUCUGUACCCUGUCGUAAGAUUUACAUGUACAGUUUAAAAUUGCCCAAAUAAGAUUUCCCGUCCACUUUGA